rnacentral:rRNA from 1 species
AUUGAACGCUGGCGGCAUGCCUUACACAUGCAAGUCGAACGGCAGCACGGGAGCAAUCCUGGUGGCGAGUGGCGAACGGGUGAGUAAUAUAUCGGAACGUGCCCAGUCGUGGGGAUAACGUAGCGAAAGCUACGCUAAUACCGCAUACGAUCUAUGGAUGAAAGCGGGGGAUCGCAAGACCUCGCGCGAUUGGAGCGGCCGAUAUCAGAUUAGGUAGUUGGUGAGGUAAAGGCUCACCAGGCCGACGAUCUGUAGCUGGUCUGAGAGGACGACCAGCCACACUGGGACUGAGACACGGCCCAGACUCCUACGGGAGGCAGCAGUGGGGAAUUUUUGGGACAAUGGGCGCAAGCCUGAUCCAGCAAUGCCGCGUGCAGGAUGAAGGCC